AGAAACCAGAAGCUUGUAUAUUUAUAGGAAAAGCUUGAGGAGUAGGUGAACAUAAUUGUUGACAAAAGCACCACCUUCACCCUCCAACUUCACCGUCCAGUGUUUUUUGACUUACAAAAACCGUACGCAAAGCUCUUCAAAUCAAUGAGGAGAGUAUAGGGGAAUGGAUACGAUGUAAAUAUGGUAUUCCUUACACAUAUGACAUUAUAAGCUAUGACAUUAUAAGCAGCGUACCUUACCAUAAGAAUAACAGUAUCAGUGGCUAUCGUUCUCUCAUCUUCAGUGGUGAUCACGAUAUGGCAGUGCCUUAUCUUGGAACCCAAGCUUGGAUAAGGUCUCUCAACUAUUCUAUUAUCGAUGACUGGAGGCCAUGGAUGAUCAACGAUCAAAUCGCUGGAUACACAAGGACUUAUGCAAAUAAGAUGACAUUUGCUACUAUCAAAGCAAGGAGGUGGGCACACGCCGAGUUACAAAAUAGAUGGUUUCUAAUAUGUUAUUUCAUCCUGACAAUCCCAGAAAUACACUUCUUCAAGUUGAAGUGAUUUUUA